CUUUGGCCAUAAAAAAAUUUAACUUUUUUCUGGAAUCAGCGUUUGGCCAUAAAAAUUCCGAAUACAACUUGAAGUUGUAUUCCGGAAUAUCAAAAACUCAAAAGACUUGUUUUUCAAAUUUUCUUCACUUUUUUAUAAUCACAUUUCACCAAAAACUACAAUUUCAAAAACUAUGGCCAAAUACAACUCCAACUUCAAUUUUUUUUUUUUUGUAUCUGUGAACAAACUGGGCCUAAGUUAUGCAAUACUUACGAGGGCUCAAUUGCCACUUCUCAUCCUAUAAGUAGUCUUAUGCAAUAAAGUGGAAAGCCAAAAAAGAAGUUGAAAAGAAACAUACCCACUUUACCGCGUGAGGUGCAAUGCUGCUAGGCUCAAGAUGUAGCUUCAAAAGUGCCCUUCAAGAGUCUCAGCAGAAACGAAAAAUCAUGAUUUUAAAAGAUACAAUUCGAGCACGUAACAAGUUUGUUGACAAAUGUACGUGGAACAGAACUGCAAAAAGGAGAAGAAAUAAACUAGGCGUGGAUCUAGAAUUUUCAUCAAGUGGGGCAAACAUAUUCAUAAAACAGAUUUGGUAUUAUGUCAUUUUGAGGAGGCUGCCAAUUUGCAAGUGGGAGAAUAAAUCAAUUAACUUCCUGACUGGUAUUGUCGGCAUUCGGAAUGAACAUAAACAAGAAUAUAGAUGCUAAAUUCAACAGAGUGGCAUCAAGAUCUAUGUUGUCUGAUGCAUUUGAGGUGGGAGUUGCAGACAAUGUUUCCUCGGGUUAAAUUGUAUGUCAUCAUCUUGCAUGUCGAGAGAUGUUUCAGUGAAAGGGAGACAACAUGGAGUUCCUAGGGAAAGAGAAAAGAAAAAGAAUUAGAGUGAUUUUUUGGAGACCAUCACUGGCAUUGACCAACGUUACCUCAAUAUGACUGAAUCUUGAACCUUUCAUAGUUACGAACUUUUAUUAUAGAUUUGAUUUAAUCAACCCAUGAGGAAAUUAGGAGUUUAUUAUAUGAGGAAAUACAAAGGCCAAUCCAGAAUUUAGAGUUAGUGAGUUCAGAAUGAUUAUGAACUUAUUGAAUGUAUAUAUUUCAGUUUUGCAUUUAUAGAUAUAGUUCGAGUUGAAUGUAAGCCGCAAAACUCGCUCAAGAUUCGCGUUUGAGGAAACCCAUCGACCCCUACCCCACCAAAAAAAAUUCAAAUUGCAAACCAUUGACUAGAUGAAUUCAUGAUUUCUUUUACACGUGUCAUUGAGAGGGAGCAUAGAAACUGGCCCGCCCAAGAAUUUGCAGGUAUAGUGUGUACCUGAGGGCUGAGAAUAUGGCUAGACCAGAAUAAAAUACCUGAUUGGACCUGCAAAGAGUUAGCUAAGUAGUCACGAAUCAAAAUAAUUUCAACCAAGUGUGGUGUGACACUAGUUUUUUUCUUUGAACAUCAGUGGCUCUUGUCUUUAAGGACUGAUUCUACUACACAUCGCAUGGUGCCAUUUUGUGUCAAGUCAAUUGAUUUAACUUGGUAAUAUCUCGAGCCAUUUUCUAGGUUUUAUU